UGGGGAAUAUUGCGCAAUGGGCGGAAGCCUGACGCAGCGACGCCGCGUGGGGGAUGACGGCCUUCGGGUUGUAAACCUCUUUCGACCCCGACGAAGGGUGACUGACGGUAGGGGUAGAAGAAGCACCGGCCAACUACGUGCCAGCAGCCGCGGUAAUACGUAGGGUGCGAGCGUUGUCCGGAAUUAUUGGGCGUAAAGAGCUCGUAGGCGGUGUGUCGCGUCGGCCGUGAAAACCUGCAGCUUAACUGUGGGCUUGCGGUCGAUACGGGCAUCACUGGAGUUCGGCAGGGGAGACUGGAAUUCCUGGUGUAGCGGUGAAAUGCGCAGAUAUCAGGAGGAACACCGGUGGCGAAGGCGGGUCUCUGGGCCGAUACUGACGCUGAGGAGCGAAAGCGUGGGGAGCGAACA
rnacentral:rRNA from 1 species